rnacentral:rRNA from 1 species
AGGACGACGCUGGCGGCGUGCCUAAUACAUGCAAGUCGAACGGUCUUUCUAUGGAAGCUUGCUUCCACUGAGAAGAUAGUGGCGAACGGGUGAGUAACACGUGGGUAACCUGCCCAUAAGAGGGGGGAUAACAUCCGGAAACGGGUGCUAAUACCGCAUAGUUUUCUUGAUCGCAUGAUUGAGAAAGGAAAGACGGCCUUUGUGCUGUCGCUUAUGGAUGGACCGCGGCGUAUUAGUUAGUUGGUGAGGUAACGGCUCACCAAGACGAUGAUACGUAGCCGACCUGAGAGGGUGAUCGGCCACAUUGGGACUGAGACACGGCCCAAACUCCUACGGGAGGCAGCAGUAGGGAAUCUUCCGCAAUGGACGAAAGUCUGACGGAGCAACGCCGCGUGAGUGAAAGAAGGUUUUCGGAUCGUAAAACUCUGUUGUCAGAGAAGAACAAGUUGGAGAGUAACUGCUCCAGCCUUGACGGUAUCUGACCAGAAAGCCACGGCUAACUACGUGCCAGCCGCCGC